ensembl:lncRNA
UUUGAAAUGAGUAUGAAUGACAGAGAGAAGGGAGGGACAAACCAAUUAAGAUUCUUCUGUGUGAAUAAGAAUAGAGAUGGAAAGUUUUCAGCUAUUAUCAUGGAGUUAAAGAUAAAAGCCUCAUUGAAGAAUGAAUGAGUAAAUGGUCAUGAGCCCAGGAAAAGGAACUGAAAUCAGGAAAAGACUCAAGACGAGCAGAAGAAAUGUGCUUCCAAAACAAAUAAUAUUAAGACAAAAAACAAGGGAAUAAUGUCUGACAUUUAUUGAGUGCUCGCUACACUUCAGACUGAGUGCUUUAUUUAAUUCAAUGCUUGUGACACCUCGGUGAAAUAGGAAGAAAUAUCAUGUCCGGUGUUUUGCUAGUAAGUAUGUUUGCCACAAGGGUUUUCACCACAAACAUUUUCACUGCAUAACUAAUUGACCGUAAGGCAGUUUUGCCAUAAAAAAAUUAAAUAAGAGAAAAAUAAAAGAGAGACUUUAAGAAGGACAUAAUAAAAUGUGAGUCUGAGUUGAUGGGCAUGAGUCUGAGGAAGCUCUGGGAGUUGGUGAUGGACAGGGAAGCCUGGCAUGCUUCAGUCCAUGGGGUUGCAAAGAGCUGGACAUGACUGAGCGACUGAACUGAACUGAACUGAACCGAAUAAAACACGAAAAAUGAAAUAAGAAAAUUACAAAAACUGUCGUGAAAUACAAAUAUUUGAAUACAUUUAAAAUGUGUGCGUGGUCGUGGUGUGCAUAGCACAUGACUUCCAGGUCAUUUGUUUAUAGCAUUUUAUUUUAUGCAUGUUGGGGGCUUGUUGAUUUGCUUCCUCAUUCAGCAUUGCACUUUUUCUUUUCCCAUAAAAUUUCUUCCUUCAUCGAGAGAGAUAUCCAUUUCCAAGUCAUAGAACCUAUAUUUGUAACUGAGCUUUAUAUUGCCUUGUGAGAGCCUCUCUACUGUUGGUUGUUCUUGGCAUGUUACAAUGUCUGUUGAUAGAUGUUCCAAAGUUCUAUGGGAAAUGUGGGUUCAACUCUGCAACUUCAAAUCACUGAAGGAUUUGCACAGUGAUAUGUUAUCAUUUUGUAGUAUAAUGUGCAACUUCUCUUAAUUCACACAUUCAGUGAGUCUUAUCACUAUAUUUUCCACCAAAUCCAUAUCCAUCCACAGUUGUUAUCAUCCACUUUUUCAAGCCUGCCAGAUCUCCUCACUGUACAGACCAUUGUGAAUGCUAAAAUUUAUAUAAUAUAAAAAUGAGGCUACUGUGCCAAUGCCACGGAUUUAAAACCAAACUGCCAACAGGUUAUCUUUUAAUCAGGUUACGGCCUAUUAGUUAUGCUGUGAAAAUGUUUGCGUCCAAAAUGCUAAUGGCAAAGAUGUCUAUGGCAAAGACGCUUGCAACAAAAGUACCUGGAAUAAAAAUAAUCCCUAUUAUAUACAUGAAGAAGAUGGGCAUCUGAGUGGUUAAAUAACUAGCUUAAGGUCAUGAAGUUGUUAAACAGCAGGAAUGAGAUUUAAACUUAGAUCAGCCUGAGUCCAGAACCACUAUACUUAAUCACUGCUCUCUACUGACAGAAAGUGAAGUGAAGUUGCUCAGUCAUGUCCAACUCUUAGCGACCCCAUGGACUGCAGCCCACCAGGCUCCUCCGUCCAUGGGAUUUUCCAGGCAAGGGUACUGGAGCGGGGUGCCAUUGCUGUGGAGGCAAAACAUUGAUCAUGAUCUUGUUGAAUUUGAAGGUAAGGUGGAAAAAGGAAUCUUUUUAUCUUAGGUCUGGAUGCAGAUUUCUAAGCAGAAUACUUUUCUUGCCUUGAAAUGGGCAGAACAUAAACAGCAGAACAAUAAGGGGAAGACUGGGAUGCUGUGAGUGGGCAAGAUUCCCCCAAAGAUGGCGACAAGACACUCUCAUGAAAGGUGGUGAUCUUCAGCCUCGGUUAAGAGGAUGGAUAGGGCCGGGGAACCUGGAGUGAGAUCCAGGCGUUAACAGAUCCAGUCCCAGUGGGAAUGAAGUCCAGCAGAUCUGACUGUGCCACGUCAGGAGGAAGCAUGUGCUCAGGAAUGACAGUGCCCUCAGUCAGGGGGCGCUCUGGAAGAAGACCACGGUGACGAUUACCUGCAAUGACUGGAAAGAAAAGGAAGACUUCUAAACACAAAUUUAAAAUGAGAAAUUGGAUGGACUGGAUAACGGAGUCAACCUCAGAAAGGAGAAGUGAGGGACGGAUUCUAC